rfam:Caenorhabditis tropicalis strain JT1373 unplaced genomic scaffold Scaffold629, whole genome shotgun sequence.
CGGCCGCUGAUAUGUCUGAUAUUCUUGGGUUCGACUCGAGACUAAUCGAACCAGUUUAUUAGACGUAUCGACGGCCGG